GAUGAACGCUGGCGGCGUGCCUAAUACAUGCAAGUCGAGCGAACGGACGAGAAGCUUGCUUCUCUGAUGUUAGCGGCGGACGGGUGAGUAACACGUGGAUAACCUACCUAUAAGACUGGGAUAACUUCGGGAAACCGGAGCUAAUACCGGAUAAUAUUUUGAACCGCAUGGUUCAAAAGUGAAAGACGGUCUUGCUGUCACUUAUAGAUGGAUCCGCGCUGCAUUAGCUAGUUGGUAAGGUAACGGCUUACCAAGGCAACGAUGCAUAGCCGACCUGAGAGGGUGAUCGGCCACACUGGAACUGAGACACGGUCCAGACUCCUACGGGAGGCAGCAGUAGGGAGUCUUCCGCAAUGGGCGAAAGCCUGACGGAGCAACGCCGCGUGAGUGAUGAAGGUCUUCGGAUCGUAAAACUCUGUUAUUAGGGAAGAACAUAUGUGUAAGUAACUGUGCACAUCUUGACGGUACCUAAUCAGAAAGCCACGGCUAACUACGUGCCAGCAGCCGCGGUAAUACGUAGGUGGCAAGCGUUAUCCGGAAUUAUUGGGCGUAAAGCGCGCGUAGGCGGUUUUUUAAGUCUGAUGUGAAAGCCCACGGCUCAACCGUGGAGGGUCAUUGGAAACUGGAAAACUUGAGUGCAGAAGAGGAAAGUGGAAUUCCAUGUGUAGCGGUGAAAUGCGCAGAGAUAUGGAGGAACACCAGUGGCGAAGGCGACUUUCUGGUCUGUAACUGACGCCGAUGUGCGAAAGCGUGGGGAUCAAACAGGAUUAGAUACCCUGGUAGUCCACGCCGUAAACGAUGAGUGCUAAGUGUUAGGGGGUUUCCGCCCCUUAGUGCUGCAGCUAACGCAUUAAGCACUCCGCCUGGGGAGUACGACCGCAAGGUUGAAACUCAAAGGAAUUGACGGGGACCCGCACAAGCGGUGGAGCAUGUGGUUUAAUUCGAAGCAACGCGAAGAACCUUACCAAAUCUUGACAUCCUUUGACAACUCUAGAGAUAGAGCUUUCCCCUUCGGGGGACAAAGUGACAGGUGGUGCAUGGUUGUCGUCAGCUCGUGUCGUGAGAUGUUGGGUUAAGUCCCGCAACGAGCGCAACCCUUAAGCUUAGUUGCCAUCAUUAAGUUGGGCACUCUAAGUUGACUGCCGGUGACAAACCGGAGGAAGGUGGGGAUGACGUCAAAUCAUCAUGCCCCUUAUGAUUUGGGCUACACACGUGCUACAAUGGACAAUACAAAGGGCAGCGAAACCGUGAGGUCAAGCAAAUCCCAUAAAGUUGUUCUCAGUUCGGAUUGUAGUCUGCAACUCGACUACAUGAAGCUGGAAUCGCUAGUAAUCGUAGAUCAGCAUGCUACGGUGAAUACGUUCCCGGGUCU
rnacentral:rRNA from 1 species